UGCGUAGGUGGUUUCUUAAGUCAGAGGUGAAAGGCUACGGCUCAACCGUGGUAAGCCUUUGAAACUGGGAAACUUGAGUGCAGGAGAGGAGAGUGGAAUUCCUAGUGUAGCGGUGAAAUGCGUAGAUAUUAGGAGGAACACCAGUUGCGAAGGCGGCUCUCUGGACUGUAACUGACACUGAGGCACGAAAGCGUGGGGAGCAAACA
rnacentral:rRNA from 1 species